GGGUGGGGCUUUACCAUUGCAGGUCGAACGAUCCCCCGCUUCGGUGGGGUGUUCUAGUGGGGAACGGGUGAGUACCCCGAGGGCAACCUGCCCCCGGCUCUGGGAUAACUCCAAGAAAUUGGGGCUAAUACCGGAUAUGACCGCUGGCCGCAUGGUCUGGUGGUGGAAAGAUUUAUCGGCUGGGGAUGGGCCCGCGGCCUAUCAGCUUGUUGGUGGGGUAGUGGCCUACCAAGGCGACGACGGGUAGCCGGCCUGAGAGGGUGACCGGCCACACUGGGACUGAGACACGGCCCAGACUCCUACGGGAGGCAGCAGUGGGGAAUAUUGCGCAAUGGGCGGAAGCCUGACGCAGCAACGCCGCGUGAGGGAUGAAGGCCUUCGGGUUGUAAACCUCUUUUCUCAGGGACGAUAAUGACGGUACCUGAGGAAGAAGCCACGGCUAACUACGUGCCAGCAGCCGCGGUAAUA
rnacentral:rRNA from 1 species